GCCCUUUCCAGGAAGAGGCAAGACAGAGACACUGAAGGCCUGGCCAUGACUCCCAGGGCUCCGUCCCUUCCCACAGCUGUUAACUUCUCAAAGAUGCAAAUUCCUCUCUCUCUGCUCCAUGUAAAUGAAUACUGAGAGCCAAGGCUGCCGCCCCUUGGGCCCAACCACCACCCUUAUGAUCCAUGAUGGGACAAACCCUGCCCCUGAGGCUGCCAUUCUUGGGGAUCCGAGCCAGAUAGUCAGUUCCUGGUUCCCAACCACCGAUUCUCUUUGCUGGGGGACCUCUCCCUGCUGCUCGGGUGUCCUAGAGAGCCUGGGCUGGGAGGGGCCCACAGUGGCUGUGAGACUUUGGGGAAGGCAGUGCCCUCUCUGGCUAGGCUCUAAGGCCAUUCCUGGUCUCAUGUUUGGGGGUGCUCUGAAUGCUCAGUUUCCAACCUAUGGCACUAGAAAAAGGCCAGGCUCUCCCAGACCCUCCUGCACGGCAUAUUUACUGCGGGUCCCACUUAGGACCUCAGCCCCCCAAUUCCCACCAGUGCUUGCUUUCUCUGUCUCCUGGGUCCUGUCUCCUCAUCAGAGACAUGUGUCUUCAUCAGCCCUGGAUGACUCACAUCAGGGAGUCAGGCAGGGGCUUAACUGCCCUCCUGUCUCAGUAGCAACUACCUCAAAACUCCUGAUGUAGGCAUCCCAACACCAAGACCAAGACCUCACCUCCAUGCCUCCUGGUUAUACAUGCGCUCAGCUACCAGGAAGCCAGGGUGGGUGGGAGCAGAGAGGUAAGUGAAGGAAACAGCACGAAAGCCAGAGCGGGAUAUGCUCAGAGGAUUUGGGUGUUGUUUGACACCAGGAAAUGCAUGAUGGGGAGCAGAUGCCAUCUUGGUGCCCACCUAUGGCCUAGCCUCCCUCCCUGUCCCUGGUACUGAUGUGGGUCUUUGCGGACACCUGGAACCAAAUGUGUCAACCCCAGUGCUCCACCCUCGGAAGUGGUAAACUACAGGGCCAAACCAGUUCCAGGGCAUAGGUUUCUGGCUGUCAAUUCUCAGCCUCAGGCACACCUGUGAUCCCUGACUCCCCCAGGAGUACCCGCACACUGGGGGCUGAGCUGGCCUGGGCAGUGUCUGCCUCCAGAAAUCAGAAAUUUGUUCAUUUCUUCACUGCAAAUGUGUACUGAGAGUCUAUGGCAUGCAGCUGCAGAGUACAACCUUCUUCCCUCACAGCCUCUUCUUAGAGGAAAUUAGGAUCUCCUAGACUCUUCCAGAUGGUCCUUUCCUGCAUUCCAACUCCCACUCCAGACCAAGAAAUACCCACAAGGCAAGGAUUUGAUGAGGAUAUGGGCUCUGGUCCAGGGAGAGACUCCCAAGCAGGUUACAGAUCUUUGGGACACUGCCUCCCAAAUGCCCAGUGUCCCAGUCCCUUCUCAGGAGCCCAGACCUCCCAUAUCUGGCAGGUCACAAAAUAUAACAAUGGUCACCGUACACCAGACACUCACCAUGUGCCAGGUUUAUGAUGCUAAACUUUCAUGAUGGGUUUUAAUUCUCAUGAUGCCUCUGGAGAAAGGACUGUCCUCAUUUGCAGAUAAGGACACUGAAGUUCUGAAUACUUAAAUAAACUGACCAGUCACACAGUAGACAAGCAGCAGAGCCCAGAUUCAAAGCCAAGCUCACCUACCUGGAGUGGAGAGCAGAGGCAACACCUGCCCUGAAAAAGUGGGAAUUUGGAAAACCUACUUGAACGGGGAGUCAGGCCAGGGCAGUGUCCAUCCUUUCCAGAUGAGGCCUGGACCACGUGGAGCCCUCUGCUGUCUUGGGCCCACCCUGCCUAGCUCCAAGGUAGCCACAUUCCCCAGCACCCCCAAGGCACCACCCCUGCUUUCCCCCAUUCCCCAUCCCGUGGCUCAGGGCAGCCAUACUGCGAGAAGGCAUUUCUCCCAGCCCAGCGCAGUCCCUCCAUGGCCCUUGCUAUCCCACUACCCUCUAAUUCUGUGGGGGUCUCGGCUGCUCAGAGGCCCUGAGCAGUGACAAUCCAGCCUUUUAACGAUCUUGGGUGUCUUGGUUGCUGACCUCGGCUGGAGGCUGGGUGCAGGCAAGCAUGGCCCCCACAGGGUCUCCUGGGGCCCUGGCUUCACUCUUCCAUAUCCUUGCCAAUUGGCCCCUAGGUGGGGGCCUCCCCUGGCUUUACACUGGCUCUCCCUGCUUCUACUUUGUUCCCCUAUAGUUUAUUCUCAACAUGGCAGAGGGACCUUGUAAAGGAUGUCAGAUGUGUCCCUGUGUUUACAGCCCUUCAAUGGCUCCUGUCUCACCCAGAGUGAAAGCCGAACUCAUUUCAGUAACCUCGAGGCCUCACCCUCCCCUGGCCCUUAGGUCCUACUACUCUUCUCGCUUGUGCGGGAACAGCCAUGCUUCCACCUCAGGGCCUUUGUAUUUGCUGUUCUCACUGCCUGGAAUGUUCAUGCUCCACUAUUUGUGCAUAUUAGUGAAGGUUUCUCUGGUUGUCGUAUUAAAAUAACAUUCCUGUCUCCCUCACCAGCACUCUCUGCCCGUCUUUAUUUCUCUCCAGAGCACCUGUCACCUCAUGACAUAUUACAUCUUUGUUAAUUGUCCAUCCCAACUAGAACAUCUCCAGCACCUGGAAUAGUGCCUGGCACAGAAGUAACGUUCAACAAGUGGAUGAGGAAAUGAACUGCAAAGGGGCAAGGGCAGCAGAGCUCUCCCAGGCUGCAACUGGGCUUGGGCAGUUGACUGGGAAGCCUAUAUUCUCACACCUCUUCCCCCUCCACACAGAUAGAAACAGGGCCAUCUGGAAUAUUCCCCAUAGUGGCACUGAUUUCCUUUCAGUGUUUCAAGUACACCUCCCUCUCCCAUCUUUCCUCAGACUGUUCCCUCUAUUACCUUCCCAUCUCCCCAUCCUUCAGGUUUCAGCUGAGAUGUUGCUUCCUCAGAGGCCCCCCAGAUAGUCCUGGGAGUGAAGGAUGCUUACUCCACACUCCCUAGCACUGACUUCCAUGUUCACAUGAGUUGUGACACUUAGGAGUUUCCUGUUCAAAAACUGAGCAUCAGGCUGGCCUACCGUUGGGCCUUGUCUGGAUGGUUGUGAGGACUAAAUGAGGGAAAUUCAUUGUUGUUUGUGACAGAAAAGCAGCACACUGGAAAUAAUGUUUAAUCCAGAAAUCACAGCCUCAGACAAACCCUGGAAAAUGCUGGGCAACUAUGGCUCAUAUUUUGAAUGUUACCCUUCUAGAUGUUUUCAGAUACCUGAGACUCUAGUGGGAGUGGCCGACAACCCUGGCUCAGCUUCACAGACCAGCAGGUGGUGCUGGGGGUCCUGCAGCCCUUCAGGCCAUCCCCUACAAUCCUCACACUAUGUGCGGUCCCAGGACCAACAGUGUCCACUACCUGGGAGUUUGUAGAAAUGCAGAAUAUUGCCCUCUUCCCCAUGAUCUACUAAACCAGGAUUUGCAUUUUAACACAUUCAAGUUUGAAAUGCACAGCCCCAGACCACAGCAUUUCAGAACUAAGGGUUAAAAAGGGUAUAUAUUACAUAUAUACGUAUAUAAAUAAAAUCCACUGAGUUCCAUCCAAGUCCUGGUUUCUAAGCCAGUACGUCCCCGUUUUACAGAAGCAGAACCUGUGAGCCAUUAGUCAGAAACACUAGCCUGUCAGAAUCCAUUCUCUGGACAUCCUGAACCCUUAACUCACACAUAUUGUCCCAUCUCAAAGCAGUCUUGCCUGCUCCCUGUUCCAUUCCCAUUUUUGAAAUAAAGGGCUGCCCUGAGCGCUCUCGGUGAUUGCUCUCUUGGCUGCCAGAUAGGGCUGGACACCAGGUGGUGCCUGGGAAAGUGGCUGGGUCCCAGCAAGCAUGUGAGGGAGGUGCCUUCUCAAGAACAGGGUGGGAGGCACUCAGGUACAACCUGAGCUGGGGCAGGGAGGUGGCUUGAGGACCUGUUCGCUCUGCCAGGAGGGCUGGGCCUGGACCACUGCAACUGCCUCUCCCACCCACUAGACAAAAGCUCAGCUAAGAGUCCCAUCCCUGUUACCUAGCCCCCGUGGGAAUAGCUCACGCCAGGAACUACCAUCAAACCUGCUCCCUUCUCCCAGGGCCUGGUGACUUCUUGACAGGUUACAGCCCCAAAGACAAACAGAUUCUGCCAAGCAAAUAACUGUCCAGCAGUGGGGGUGUUGGGAAAGUCCUGGGAGUGGGUCUGAGCUGCCAGAAGACCCAGGUCACAGGGUGGAGGCCCCUCUCCUGCAGAGAACAAACAGCCAUGGGCACCUGGAAGGAAGCAGGAUGCAGGUGCGCUGUCCUGGCACUAAGGGCAGGGGCAAGGGUGUUCACCCCAGGGGUCUGUGGGCCCAUGCUCUCUUGCCCUGGGCUCAGACUCAGGAGUUUUGCAUUCAGGCCCUUGGAGCAGGGACCAGUUCCCUCGUGGUGCCUCCAUUCCUCUCAUGCAAUCUGUGGCCACUGAUUCCCUCACCGGGCUGCCCCCAGGGAGGUGGCCAGGGAAUACCCUCCCCAUCAACUCCUGCACCCUAGGUCUUGGGGCUCACAUCCAGCGCCAUCAUUUAGAACACACACACCUUUGCCAGCGAGGGUGAAGGCCUAACCUGGGGGUCUGCAACUGAGUGAAAGUAAUGCAAGUGCCUGGGAGCCAAGGCAAAGGGGUCUGAACCUCUAAGACAAUCAACUCCCUUCCCUUUCUGAUCUCACCUUCUCUUCAACACAGAGGGGUGAUGAUGUGACUUACAAAGCCGAGAUUUGAGUUCUCUGGAGUGCUUACAGUCAAAAGGAUGGUUCCAGGCAACCCACGAAUUGCCAUCGUAUCUGCCAAUUAAGUUUCUUUCAUGCUGACCACCAUUAACUUGCCUCCCCAUCUCCUGGCCAAGGUCAUAGGCCUGUCUCACCUAAGUAAUAGACUGCAAGUUUGUUUGCCAAUUGCCUGGAGUGGGGUCCCUACCUGAUUAUCAGACUUUCAGGCUAGUCCACAAAAGCUUACCCAACCAAUGUAUACGCAAGAAGGAGCACCCUAGAGCACUCAUGAACUAAUGCCCAACCGCCAAGGGAAGCAUGCAAGGAAGAUUCAUUCCAUCUUCUAAAUCUAGGGUGCCAGGGGCCCAGCUGAGACUGAGGAGGAGACUCUCCAACUCAGCCUUGUCUGCUUUCCCAGUAGGAAAGGUGCCUGUGACAGUCUGCAGUCUUCCUGUACUACCCUGGUUUCUGUGCAAUGUAUCUGACACACAGGAAAUCUGCCCCAACAGUGCUUGCUAGCUCAUCAACACUAACUUGGUGGUACUUACGUGCUGGAGAAGUGCUUAACAGAUUCACGGUACUCUGGGGGCCUAAAGGCCACUGGAAGGAGUUUUCUUAUGUUUCUAGUCACUGGGAGGUAGGAGGGCAGCAGAUUUAAUCAUAACCCCAGGACUGAUUUCCCAAACAUAUAAUGAACCUCACUCAGGGUCUCAGUUUUCCCAUUUGCAAAAGGUAGACCCAAAGAGCAAAAAGUAUACAUCACAGAGCCAAUAUUGGGCCAACCAGGUACACAGGGGGCUUGAGGGCACAAUAAAACUCACUGACACAUACAAAAAUAGUUUUUUGUGUUAAUUUAAUCAUACAAAUAUUCAUUUAUACAGUAAGGAAAAACCUCCUCAUCUUCAUCUCCUCCCAGGCACCAUGAGGCCCCACCACAAACACCCACUCAGUGUGCUUGCUACACACCCCUGUCCAGGUGGAAGGGCAGCCACUGCUGUUCCAGCACUCACCCAAGGAGACUAAGGAAAGAUAGCUGUUCUCGCCUGGUUCAAGCUUCCCAUGGAGAUACCCACGUCUCAACCUGCUCAGAUCCACAGGAUGCCAGUGGGACCACCUACCCAAGUGGGCAGCCAGCCAGUCAGCCUUCGUUCCAGCUGGGCUACCCCUUGCCCACCACCUCCCAAAAACCAAGUAUCCUACUCAGGGUGGGGGUCCUCUGGUUUCCAUUAAAAUGUGGUCUCCAAGAUCAUGUUGUCAGUAAUUAUGGCCUUUCCCCAUGGCAAAUUCCCCAUUUGGGGUUGUAUUUUCAUACCUUAACAGCUCAGCCUCCACUAACUGGCUGUGAAAACAUCACAAUGGGACAACCGGACAGAAACACAGGGAAGGGAGUUGUGAGCCAAAAGAGAAGCAUGGGACACCUUCACACUCACUGAUGAGCUGCACCAACACCCAUGUGUGUGUGCCUGUGGCACAUCCAUAUACGUAGCAUGGAGGUACUAUUCCCAGAGCAAAUGGAAAAACCCUGUGGACAAAGAAUCCAAAAGAGCAGUAAGCAUAAUGGCAUCUCUCUCCACCAAGAGAAACAUGGAAGAAGAGCAAUUUGAAUUGUUACAAGUGUGUGCAGGACACCUCUCUGCCUCAGAAACUCCCACACCAUCUGAGAUCCGUCCUCAAGGCUUCCUCAAGGCUGGCCACACAGGGAAGUUUGGUUUUCAGAGAGUUUCUGAUGGUAACAAGCCACAGGGUUGACAAAUACAAAUGUCAAAGGUGUAAAUCAACAGAAGAUUAAAGAGAAAAGAAGAGGAAAAGGGCGAUAAUUGAUUGGUUGAUGCCAUUAAAAACAGAUGGGGUCAGAGACUUCUCGAGUCAUGUGGCAUGGCAGAUGUCUUCCUGUAGCACUGACCCAGAGAGUCCCCAAACAUGCCACACCAGCUUUUAACCUGAAUCGCUUCCAGAGCAAGCAGCUAUUCUAUAGAGUAUGUUAUCCCUUAUCCAAAAAAAUAAAAGUGGGGAAAGAGGGAAAAAAUUAA